GAGGGUAUAGCUCAGUGGUAGAGCACAUGCUUAGCAUGCAUGAGGUCAUGGGUUCAACCCCAAUAUCUCCA
rnacentral:tRNA from 1 species